rnacentral:misc_RNA from 1 species
AUCCUUUUGGGAAGUUCAAACCAGUUGCCUUGAAUCUCUGCAAGGGAUCACUUUAUGCAGGUUGUUUUUGUCAACUAGCGAGUAGAUAAGAUGCGGCUGUUGCUGAUUUCUGAUCAAGGCUAGAGGCAACGUUUAGAGGGCCCGGUUUUUUAUCUUUUAAACAAACAAAAACGGGCUAAAUCAAGUUUUUGGGCGUUGAAGAAUUUGUAAGCACCAAAUCAAAAAUCGAAAAGGCCUAAGGCCAUCGAAGCUCACAUCACUUGCUGACAAAUGAAACUGACAAAAAUAGCACCGCCCACACCCUAAUUUCUCCCCAUGAAACCCCAAAACUACGUCAGCAAAGUCACCAACCCAAGGGAAGUGUUUGCCACAUCACUCCUCUUAUAAAGCCUCAUCAACCUUCCGAAUUGCGUUCUCUCUCCCUCUCCCUCAAUUUACAGUUUCAUACAUUAUCGUCGUCAUCAACGAUGAAGAAGUUAUACCGUAGAGGCACGGUGCAUCCGUCGCCGCCUAUCAUAUCAGACUACCUGUCCUCCCUUCCGGCUACCAUCCUCACCCUCACAGCCGCUCUCUCACUUGAGGACAGAGAAGUUUUGGCCUAUCUCAUCUCCUGCUCUAGUACAAGUAGCAACUUCUCCAACCAUAGCAGGAUCACUCAAAAAAGCACUUUUUACAACAAGAACAGUAGCAAUGACCAUCCUCCUUUCUUCAACUGCAACUGUUUUAGUUGCUACAUGAGUUACUGGAUUAGAUGGGACUCGUCGCCCAAUCGGCAGCUGAUACACGAGAUUAUCGAUGCUUUCGAAGACGGGUUGUUGGCGCAGGGAAAGAGCAAUAACAAGAAGCAUAAGAAGAGGAAGGGGAAUAACGGGUCUAUUGAACAGAAGCUUUCCGAAUUGAAUUUGAAGAAGUUGGGGGAGUCUGACUCUGUGGGGGAAAGUAGCAGUGGCAGUGGCGGUGGUGAUGAAGAUGGUGUUGGCGGUGACCAAGGGGUGGGGUCGGUGAGGAGGUUUGUGAGUUUUAUUGGAGAGAGGAUUUGGGGUGUUUUGGCCUAAUAAAUUUUUGGAAGGAAAGAGAAAAGAGGUUGGAUUUAGGUUUAGAUUAUGACUAGUUAGGAUCUUCUACUCUCCAUCUGUAUAACAGAAAAAAGGUGUUUCUUCUUGUUUUUGAUUUUCUUGUAUAUUAAUUACUCUUGAAUGCGAAAAAAGGAAGAAAAGGGUUGGUUAUGAGCAUCAUCUUCUAUGUCUUAAGCUCUCUGAUCAAUAUAUGCGCAUUCCGAUUACGAAACCAGCUGCGGACGCCGCCGGUGGUUCACUUGCAAGUCCUCUCUUUUUUCAGUCAACAUUCAAUUGUGG